AUUGAACGCUGGCGGCAUGCCUUACACAUGCAAGUCGAACGGCAGCACGGGAGCAAUCCUGGUGGCGAGUGGCGAACGGGUGAGUAAUGUAUCGGAACGUACCUUUCAGUGGGGGAUAACGUAGCGAAAGUUACGCUAAUACCGCAUAUUCUGUGAGCAGGAAAGCAGGGGAUCGCAAGACCUUGCGCUGAUUGAGCGGCCGAUAUCAGAUUAGCUAGUUGGUGAGGUAAAGGCUCACCAAGGCGACGAUCUGUAGCGGGUCUGAGAGGAUGAUCCGCCACACUGGAACUGAGACACGGUCCAGACUCCUACGGGAGGCAGCAGUGGGGAAUUUUGGACAAUGGGCGCAAGCCUGAUCCAGCCAUGCCGCGUGAGUGAAGAAGGCCUCGGUGUAAGNUCUUCUAGCCGGAGAAACGGACAU
rnacentral:rRNA from 1 species